rnacentral:rRNA from 1 species
UACGUAGGGUGCGAGCGUUGUCCGGAAUUAUUGGGCGUAAAGAGCUCGUAGGCGGUUUGUCACGUCUGCUGUGAAAUCCCGAGGCUCAACCUCGGGCCUGCAGUGGGUACGGGCAGACUGGAGUGCGGUAGGGGAGAAUGGAAUUCCUGGUGUAGCGGUGAAAUGCGCAGAUAUCAGGAGGAACACCGGUGGCGAAGGCGGGUCUCUGGGCCGAUACUGACGCUGAGGAGCGAAAGCGUGGGGAGCAAACAGG